GAAAAGAAAAGGCAGGACAAAAAGAAAAAGCACAGGAAGGACCAUCGACAUAAAAAGCUCUAGACCUCCCUCAUUCUCUCUGCAUUGUUUGCAUUGUGGCGGCUGCUGCUUCUACCACCAGUGUCUUCUCACAGUUGUUAGUCUGAACGAUGGGCACAACUGCUGAACAUGCAUUGAAAAUGGGUUCAUGCUCUUCGGGGUGUGUGUGGUGACUGCAGAUCUUUUGCAAAAGUAUCACCAUAAGCAACCUAUCGCAGUACGAGCACGUGGAUCAGCCGCAGCAGUAGCAGAAAGCGGACAUGCCUCCAACAGAUCUCCGGAAAGAAAGCGAGGCAGAAGCUUGAGCGAGGUGAAAGGCUUGUAUCAGGCAGAAGAUUUGCAGUUUUGCUAACUCAGUAACGGUGACAAGGUGGAAAUUCAAGAAGCCAUCCUUUUUUCCAUAUCAUCUGGCAGCGUUCUUUCUCCACCUCUGUUGCCACCGCCACCGCCACCAGAUCUUCGUGCCCGCAUAGGUGGUUUGGCUUCUCAAAAUGAAAGGGGUCUCGAAUGAAGGAGGUUUCGAGUUCAAUAUUGAGCCUAUGAAUCUUUAAGUACAGGGCAGAAACAAGAGAAGAUGUUCUAGGGGGGAAGGAAGGAGCGUCCACUAUCAAAAGCAUUUCACCUAAAAAGGACUAGGACACGGUAAUUGCUUUUAAUAUGUGUAGUUGAGUCUACUUUCAUUGAUGGGGCACUCGGAGUGUAGAGACUUUCCUUUCCAUUUCAUUUGGGGAAAUCUUGCUUUUUAGUAUUCAAUAUCCUGCUUUGCAACUUUGUGGGUGCAUAUGCUACUGAUUGUGUAUGCUUCCAGUUGAGUUUGGGCGUUUGAUUAACCAAAGCAGCGGCUAGCUGUAUACUUGAAAAUGUCAAGUUUUUAUGGAGAUAGAAGAGGCAGACGGUUGAAUUUUAAGAACAAAUUCAAAUGGAUAUGAUGGAAAUUUAUCCACGCCUGGAAUGCACAGAAGAAAAAUCGAAAAAACUGAAAGCCCAUCGCCAAGCUUCUUUCAAUCAUGAGCAUGACAUAUUAGACAGACCUUGAAGGUUUUUGUCGCAGCUGGUAGCUCCACUUCAGCCUACAAGGUUCCUGCCUGCAGCAAAGAGGGCAAGUUUCCUGCUUGCAUAUGUUCAGUCUUCAAGGUUCCUAUCGUAGUCGGCAGCUCUACUUCAGCCUUCAAGGUUCCUGCCUACAGCAAAGAGGGCAAGUUUCCUGCGUGCAUUACUAUAGGCAAGGAAGUUCUUAAGUUAGUGGAGUCAACACUCUCAAAGGGCGCUCGACCAAGUGGCCAAAGAAAGGCAUCUGAUUCUGUUGAUUAUCUCCAGGUGGAGUCUCAAGUGGAAGCCAGCUGAGGCAUAAAAGAAGAGCCUAUGUUUAUGGUGAACUUGCUUAGCACAGAAACACUGAAAUAUCUACAUGUGGGUGGGAAGUAUGGCUCGAAGACACUAUUAUACCCACUAAGUUGAUGUUCUGUGCAAAAGAAAUUGCAUUUAAAUAUUUUAUUCGUUGGUAGGAAGAGAAUUGUUUGCUAGGUUAAUUUAGAAGAGAAGACGGGUGAAUUUUGUGUCAUAGUAUCAUUUUCCAGUUGAAAGGGAAAACGAGGAAUCCAGCUGAUGUCUUCUACUGUUGGAUCAUCUCCAGCACCUUUAUAAGGUCCAAUGACAAAGCAGCUAGGCCCUCUGGCCUCUAGAGGAAAAAGCCGCCACCUUUGGAGAUGUUACUCUUCCCACCAUUGUAUCGGGUGAGCUCAACUUUGCGAAGGGGUUCCUAUCAGUAAGCAUAUAUAUAUAUAUAUAUAUAUAUAUAUAUAUAUAUAUAUAUAUAUAUAUAUAUAUAGCGAAAUUUUAUAUUAAAGAAGCAUCCCCAAGAAUAUAACAUAUCCGUGACUUAACGUGAUUAGCAAAAGUUGAAGAUUAAGAAGGGAAAAAAAUAAAUCCCCACCAUGAUGACAUAAUAUAGUUAUACGAUGAGUAUCAAACGAGUUUGUCGAGCCUUAAUCGAAUCGAGCUCGAGCUCAACAAGCAACUGUGAGUAUCAAACAAGUUUGUCGAGCCUUAAUCGAGUCGAGCUCGAGCUCAACACAUGACUGCCGAGUCGAGUCGAGCUGUUGUGGUCGAGCUAUUCUCGAGCUCGAGCUUUCCUUUAGUUGAGCCGAGUUCGAGCUGACUGAACUCGGGCUCGACUCGGCUCGUGUUUACCCCAUAAGUAAGAGCAUGGUAACCAGGAUUUAUGAAAUUUAUAAAAGUGGAGAUCUUUUAUUGGAUUUAAGUUUAUUUUGUGGGAGGUUUCCCCCUUUCGACAGUACAUUUUACAUUUUGUGGGAGGAGAAGUUUAAGCUUGAGAAGGAGGUUUACAGAGGUCGAUAUUAAAGCAGCUUCAACGCGGGGAAGAGUGGCUGCCAGGCAAGCAGUAUUGGUGCGGGGAAGAGGUAAGUGUUCCAUCCCUACUUCUUCUCUCUCUCAUGUUUCCUUUCUCGGUUUUCGUCAUCUUCCAACUUAUCUCAUUGCUUUUCUUGUUCGACAGGUCCAAGGUUUCAUCUUCUUCUCAAAUAGUUUCUUCUCCAUUGUCUUCUCUUCUCUCCUUUACCUGCAUCGGCGUUGUCCUGUCGUCUGCAUCUAUAGUUUCUUUCUUCUCUUUCUCUUUCUUUCUCUCUCUCUCUCUCUAAGAAAGUGGAAGAGAAAAAACAAUUGAAAGCAAUAGGCAGCAUAUCUCAGUUCCUCUUUUCCCUCUCUAUGUUAAUAUUGUUCGGCACUAUCAUUUGCUCCUUUCUCUUCUCCUGGACAAAGACUUGCUGCUCAAUCUCAUCAUUAAUUGAUGUUCGCAGCUUCCUCUUCUUGUCCACAAAGAUGUGCCGCUUUAUCAUUGUCAAUGUUCCUUCUCCACUAAAAUUCUUCCUGCUUUUGCAUAACUAUAUUAUGAGUUCUUCUUUUUCUAUUUUGUUGUUGAUGUUGAAUAGUGAAUAGUUCCUAUUUAUUUUUUCCCUAAAGUUAGUAUAAAAUAUCCUUUCCACAAGUGACUAUUGCCCUUCCAAUUGCUGAUUCCCGCUGUUUUUCAAAUUUUUUCGAGAUAUGUGGACAUUGUUAUGGCUUCGGAGAAGGGGAAGAUAAAACACUGCAAGAUCCAAGUAUAAGAUGCCUAUGCAUUGUAUCGGGUGAAAGCCGCCACCUUUGGAGAUGUUACUCUACCCACCAUUGUAUCGAGUGAAACCAUCUAGAGGAGAAAGCCGCUACCUUUGGAGAUGUUACUCUUCCCACCAUUAUAUCGGGUGAGCUCAACUUUCCAAAGGGGUUCCUAUCAGUAAGCAUAUAUAUAUAUAAUAUAUAUAUACAGCGAAAUUUUAUAUUAAUGAAGCAUCUCCAAGAAUAUAAAAUAUAUGUGACUUAAUGUGAUUAGCAAAAGUAUAAGAUUAAGAAGGGAAAAAAAUAAAUCGCCACCAUGAUGACAUAAUAUAGUUAUACAAUGAGUAUCGAACAAGUGUGUCGAGACUUAAUCGAAUCGAGCUCGAGCUCAGUAAGUAAAUGUGAGUAUCAAACGACUUUGUUGAGCCUUAAGAGUCGAGCUCGAGCUCAACACGUGACUGCCGAGUCAAACUUGAGCUGCUGUGGUCGAGCUAUUCUCGAGCUCAAGCUGAGCCGAGCUCGUGGUUUCCUUUAGUCGAGCCGAGUUCGAGCUGACUGAACUCGGGUCCCCAUCUCACUCUCUGUCUCUCUUUUGUGAUUAAAGCUUUUAUCCGUCUAUUUCUUCCAUAAGUAAGAGCAUGGUAACCAGGAUUUAUGAAAUUUUUAAAAGUGGAGAUUUUUUGUUGGAUUUAAGUUUAUUUUGUGGGAGGUUUCCCCUUUUCGACAGUAUAUUUUACAGUUUGUGGGAGGAGAAGUUUAAGCUUGAGAAGGAGGUUUAUGGAGGUCGAUCUUAAAGCAGCUUCAACACGGGGAAGAGUGGCUGCUAGGCAAGCAGUACUGGUGUGGGGAAGAGGUAGGUGAUGCAUCCCUACUUCUUCUCUCUCUCACAUUUCCUUUCUCUCGGUUUUCGUCAUCUUCCAACUUAUCUCAUUGCUUUUCUUUUUCGACUGGUCUAAGGUUUCCUCUUCUUCUCAGAUAGUUUCUUCUCCAUUGUUUCCUCUUCUCUCCUUUACUUGCAUCUGUGUUGUCAUGUCGUGUGUAUCUAUAGUUUCUUCUCUCUCUCUUUCUCUCUAAGAAAGUGGAAGAGAAAAAACAAUUGAAAGCAAUAGGCAGCAUAUCUCAGUUCCUCUUUUCCCUCUCUAUGUUAAUAUUGUUCAGCACUAUCAUUUGCUCCUUCUCUUCUCCUAGACAAAGACUUGCUGCUCAAUCUCAUCAUUAAUUGAUGUUCGCAGCUUCCUCUUCUUGUCCUCAAAGAUGUGCCGCUUUAUCAUUGUCAAUGUUCCUUCUCCACUAAAAUUCUUCCUGCUUUUGCAUAACUAUAUUAUGAGUUUUUCUUUUUCUAUUUUGUUGUUGAUGUUGAAUAAUGAAUAGUUCCUAUUUAUUUUUUCCCUAAAGUUAGUAUAAAAUAUCCUUUCCAUAAGUGACUAUUGCCCUUCCAAUUGCUGAUUCCUGCUGUUUUCCAAAUUUUUUCGAGAUAUGUGGACAUUGUUAUGGCUUCGGAGAAGGGGAAGAUAAAACACUGCAAGAUCCAAUUAUAAGAUGCCUAUGCAAUAAUCAAUAACAGUUGCUGCUUUUCAUUGUGGAUUUCCUCCUAAUUUUUUUUUUAAGCUCCUGAUGUAUGACUGCUUAGAGAAGAAGUCCAACAAGACAAAAAAAUUGAGCCCUAAAUGUGUAGUGAGGAAUUAUGAAAGUGGAGCCUCGUGCAAGCUGUGAUUCUUGAACAAAGUUCAUGAGGUGAAGAGUACGAAGGUCUCCAUCCCAUUUCUACUAUUUGUCUUUUUGACAAAAGCCCACAAAUCAUAAUAUCUUUAAUAUCAACAACAAAUUGGAGGGACAACGGAACAAGGCCCAAAGUUUCCUGCAUCAGUGCAGCUCUGAGGUUUGUACUGUAAUUGCAUCAACUUAAGCAUGUUACAGCAAAAUUUGCUGGAAUACUCUUUUUUGGAAUUGCUCAAAACAUCCUAUAGAAAACCUUGUUUACUGAAAAUUAGUUGAUCCCAUGCAUGUAUGAAAAAUAUGGGUUUGGAAUUCCAUGAUUCGUGAUCCAAAGAGAGAUCAAGGGUUGGGACAAACCAAGCUUAGUAACUGUUCCAACUAUUUUAGACCAGAAACUGCUAAAAGUAGAGCCAUAAUCGAUUCAAAGAAUAAUUUAUGGUACGUAUGACCAACUCAAACCUAUUCACUCAAGAGAACAGACAGAACAAAAGUUUCAAUAUGCGAAAAGGAGAAAAACACAAAAAAAUUGAUAUUUGGAAUAGAACCUACUUGGCAUCAGCAAAAAGACAUAAAGGCAAAAAGAAUACAACCAGGCAACUGAACAUUUAUUCCAGUUUGUGAAUUCUCUUCAAGAACACAAUCUGUUUCUGUAUGAAGUCAAAUGUUAACUUUGAUUUUGCUGCUUGGCUAAUGAAGGUUGUUGUUGGGGGUGUUUGAUUGUAGGUUCGAGUUUCAGAAGUGCUCAUAAAUGCACCCUUCAUGCUUAAUCCUAAACCACAGAAGUGAAGCCAUGUGCUUCUUACAGCUAAUGACUAGUUGGCUGACUGAGACCAGAUGACUAGUUGUCAGUUUAGGAACUAAAAUUAGAUCUAGAUCAAGUCAUUUUUCCCUUUAAUAAACUUAUUUCCAGUGCUUUUCCAUACAUGCAAUUACAGUACUUUAACCCAAUUUCAUCUCUAAGUACUUUAACCCAAUUUCAUCUCUACUCGAACAAAUGUAUACAGACUCCAACAUGCACCCAAAAUUUGAACUUAAUGCUAAAAAACAAGUUAAAUAUCAAGAUAAACCAUGACUGUCACAUAUCAAAUUUUUAAACAAUUUUUCUUUUAGGAAAAAACCAACACAGUUGCUAGACUGAGAAAGGUAAAAGGAACUCAGGCUAAGGGUGCAAUGAACUAAACACUUCACAUUCUAUCAGAACCUAAUCUGAACAAAGAAUACUAGGAUCCUGCAUCUGUAUCCAAACAUCCGAUAAGUUAAGCUAGUAAACAAACCAAGUUGCUCCUAUCCAAGCUCAUUUGUUUAUGCUGAAACCUCAUAAGCGGCCACCAUAAAACAAAUUAGAUGCAUCAGAGCUUGAAAUUAUAACAUGCUCUUAACAAGUACAUGGACUAAUGAUAAACCUAACGCUGAUUAAUUUGGCAUUCAAUUGAUAAAACUAAUGAAGUCCACUUGCUCUUUGGGUGGUACACCUACUUCUUGAACAUUAUAUAAUUGCUCAGAUAAGUUUCAGGUCACUUUGCCUUUAUGUUAUGUAGGAACAGGAUUUGUGUUCAAACCCUGUCUCAGAUAAGCCUCCCGAGAUGACAUACGACUACUGCCUUCAUGGUGUUGUAGCUGUUGUUGCUUCACCAAAUCAAUAAGAAAGACCAAGGCCAAGGCCAAAUGAUUAGGAGGUCAGUUCGAAAUAUUUUUCUAGUCAUCUCUCAACAGUCAAUCGUCUUCUUGUUGCAGUGAAAAGAAGACUCAAUGCACAUAAAGAAUAUAGAACUAAUGUCCUAAACUCAACUGCUGUCAUCCCCCUCUCUAUUGCAUUGAGAUAUACAUUGCAAUGGAAGAGAGGGGAAAUGUGAGAAUGGGAGGAAGCAGAGAAGAAAGGAGAAUGUGAGAGGAGGAGGAGGAUAAGAAGAAGAUGAUGAUGCUCACCUGUGGUGACUUUAGAAAUAGAUUGUCGAUUUGGUCCGGUAUGGGCAUACCAAUGUUGUCGCAAAUGGAGCCUCUACAGAAGCGACACUGGAAUGGGUUGGAACGCUUUUCUGCAAAAGCAAUCUCUAGAAAAGGGAAAACACAAGUUAGAGGAAGAAUAUCAAAUGCAAAGGUAGAAAAUCAUUGGAGGAAGAAGAAAAAGGAUGAAGAGGAACUUGAACUUAUCGUCUACAGCGAUAUCGUCAAGGCCAUAAAAAAACGCCAUUUCAAUGGUGUCGGGUGUGCAUUGUGUACUUCAACAUUAACGGCGCGGUUCCACAAGUGCCACAUAAAAUCUACCUCUAUGGCACUGUCUGGCUGACGCCAUAAAGGCUCCUUCUACAAUGGCGUUCUAACAUUGCUGAGCCACUAAACGCAACUUAUUUAGCUGUGGUGUUCUCCUUUCUUUGAGUCUUGUUUUCUUUAGAUUAUUUCACUUCUCUAGUUAUCAAACAGGCUCUACAAUAUGAUUUGGGAGAGAGAGAGAGAGGAGAGGAGAGGGGGGACAAGAACCAGUCCACUUAAUUUCAUAAUGUCACUUAAGAUCUGUUAAAGUUCUUUUUACAGUCAAUUUGAGGCUUUCUGUAAUAUUAGAAAGUGGACUAGGGACUACUUAUUGUUUUCUAAUAUUUUAGUGGACUGGAAUUGUAAAUAUGUAGUCUUUACCCUAAUCUCUUUUAACCUGAGAUUAGGGUUACAGGAUCAAUAAGAAAAAUGACUCACUGUCUCUGAUUACCACAUGGUAUCAGAGCCUCCACCGCCGGCGACAACCAAGUAAGUUUUUCGACGACUCCUUCUCCUUCUCCGGCUACUUCUUCCUCUGGCGGCUUCUUUCUCUUUCCUCUUCUUGUCGCCCAUCUUUAUUUUUUCUUACCCACCAACAGGGAGGCGGUAAAGAAAUAAAGUUUGGGUGUGCUGCGUCGAGAAGGACUGAUCACGCCUAUGUGGAAGGCGUGAUCAGAUCCUUAAGUGGAUCUCGUGGCUACUGUUUGAGGAAAAACAGAUCGUGUGGAGCAGAUCUCUGUUUUAUGAUGUUUGAGGCAUGAUGAAUGUGGAUUUUUUUUUUGAAGUGGAUGAUGUUCUGCCGAUGGUGUGUGAGGAGAUUGAAAACAACAAUAGUUUCAGUUUUCUGAAGGUGUAAACAAUCGGCAGAAAGCAGAAUUUGCAUUGACAGUGUGUGAGGAAACUGAAAACAACAGCUGUUUCAAUUUCUGACGGUGUAAACAGUUGACAAAUAGCAGCAGAAAAGGGAAAUCAAUAGCAGUCGACCAAGAAUAACAAAAAAAAUAGUCUAUAAUCUAUCUUCUACUCUCUGUUAUGUUGUUCAGACGUGGGCAGUUCCUAUGAUUACAGAUUUGAUUACAGAUUUGUUUGCUAUCCAUCAUACUACUCUCUGUUAUGCUGUUUAGAUGUGGGUAGUUCCUAUGAUUACAGAUUUGUUUUGAUAUCUAUCAUGUGAUGCCUGUAUGAUCUUUGAGGAUAGUAGAAAUAUAUUUCUCUUCGGUAUUUGACUGUUGCAUACUUGCAUCCUUACUAUCGUGUGUCAGUUUUUUUUUGUUUCCUACUAUGGCUGAUGGUAGUAGGUCAGAAAGUUCUAUUGAAUAUAAGAUGACUGCUAACUCCUUUUCAUAUGAAACCACAAUCAAACUUGAUGGUUUGAAUUAUGAAAUUUGGUUCAGGGUAUUCACUCAACUUAAGCAAGGAAGAAUAUGAGCUGGUUCUAGAUCAAAGGUCUACCCCUGCUUCGACCAACACAACUGCAAUAGACUCGGCUUUCUCUGUUGGUGCCCCUACCAGUGACCCAGGACUUACAAACUGGGAAGAUGAUUGAUGGCGGCCAUGAACGCGAGGGGCUCUAUUUCCUUUCCGUCCAUGUAGAUGUUGCUGGAUCCUCUUUCACAUCGAAGCCUUCUCCUUUGCAGUGGCAUCUCAGACUGGGUCAUCCAUCUGUGUCCAAGCUUCGUCGCAUCUUUCCAGAUAUUUCUGCAUCAGAGUCUUUCUUAUGUGAUGCAUGCUAGUUAGGCAAGCAUACACGUAGUAGUUUCCCUUCGAGUCAGAGUCCAUCGAGUCAAAGUUCAUUUGAUCUUCUUCAUGUUGAUGUUUGGGGUCCAAGUAAAGUUUCCUUUCGUUCACGUUUCUGAUAUUACCUUGUUCUGGUUGAUGAUUUCACUAGAGCCAGUUGGGUAUUUUUGUUACGGGACAGGUCUGAGGUCAUUUGUAUCCUUCAGAAAUUUGUCAAUGAAAUAAAAACUCAGUUUGGUGUUACUAUAAAAAAUAUUCGCACUGAUAAUGCUCUUGA